rnacentral:lncRNA from 1 species
AUACGAAGAGGGGCAAAGCAGUUGGCAAAUGCCAAACUAAACUUACAAUUACAAACGAUGACAAUAAGUAAAUCAACCUCAGAAAUGUAGUAGAAAACAACUAUUUCUUUUUUGAAGCACUUAAUUAAAAAGCAACUUAGUGAAUGCCUUAAAGGUACCAAAUGAAUUUCAAAACAGGCAUCACAUUACAUAGAAUAAUCCAAUAUCUCUAACAAAGUUGAAUUCAACACAUGACAAUAUGUAAAAAACCACAUAAUAAAGAUGUGAUCAUUUCAUCUACUGCUUCAAUUCGGUUUUCUUCUUCUGCCACAGGCGAUCAAUUCCACUGUCAGCAUCUCCCUGAAAAUAAAACAGACAUCAAUAUAUCAUCAAAGUAAUUUCCAAGGAAUGACAUGAAUUAGAAUGCGUACAAUUUUAUACUUAUAAUAUGUCCAACAUAAAUAUAAAGGUUUUCAUCCUUAGUUCCCUACUUAUUUCAGUGUUUUUCUAAUAACAAUCGGUUAUAAGACAUUUUUCAGAGUUUUAUUGGUUGAUAAAAAUAACAAUACACAUCGGUUAACUUCACUAUAUGUUUUCUGCUUUCAAAAAAUACACAAACAUCAGUUGUAUGUAGAUUAGUUAUAAUAUAUUAAGAAUUCAGUGUAUAAAUUUGUUAUAAUUUACCAAGAUCAUGCAGAAAAUUUGUCAAAUCUCUAGCCUAUAUUGUUUAGUUUUUGCCACAAUUGCAAAAUUUGAAAAGAAACCAUGCUCAUAAUUUGUAAACUUAGAGUGUGUUUGGAUGGAGGAAUGUUUUGAGGGAAUGUAAUGUUUUGAGGGAAUUCAACUACUUUGGUGAAUUCUAUUGUUUUGAAUUCACCUCAAAGUAGUUGAAUUCCCUCAAAACAUUACAUUCCCUCAAAACAUUCCCCCAUCCAAACACACUCUUAAGCAAGGAAAAUAUCUAUACCAAAUAUAAAAUACAAGUUUAAAGAAUGCAAAGUAAACUACUAGAAGACCAAAUCAAAGAAACACAGGGUAUUAAACAGAUAAAACCAAAUCAUGACAAAAAAAUUGAACACACACAAUAAGUUUCUAAUAAAUAGGUUUUUAAUAAAUAGGUUAAAUAACAAUAUAGGAUAUAUAGUUAAACACUUUGAGUUUAAGUUAAUUCAAAUCAUAUCCAGAGAUAACACAAUGACAUUUAAAAAAGAGUGAAGACUCAAUUUGGUCCCUCGCAAAUUUCUUGAGGCCCAUUGGUCCUGGCAAUUGGGCAGAGGAAAAAAUCAUCUAUUGUUCAUCACAGCAGAGAGACUAAUUUAUAUCUAAAAUGAAAAUGCAAGGGACUAGUUUGGGUUGAAUUUUUUGCCAGGUACUAAGAGACCAUUUGGGUUGGCUUAUUUUUCAGCUUAUGAAAAUAAACAAGCUUCUGUAUUAAUUCAUAAGUUAUCAGCAAAAUGUAUCUUCAUAAGCUGUUUUUCACAAACUACGAUUACAAGCUUUAUGAUAAUACAUAUAAGCUUUAUUUAUUUGCAUAAACUGUUUUGCACAAGCUAAAAAAAUGAGCCAAUCCAAACAGGCCUAAAUUGGAUAGAGAGAAAAUUAUGUUGACUAAAUUGAGUGUAGUAUGCUCAAUAAACAAACAAAUCAAAACAUCACAAUAAUUAAAAACACAAAAAAUUAACAAUUAAAUCCGCAUAAUGAGCAAAAAAAAUACUAAACCAUAAUAAUUCACUAUACUAAAUCCUAAAUCAAUACAAAUCAUAAAAAAAUAGAGUAGAAAAUAGAUACCUGAGCACGAGUGAAGCCACAGAGAGCAAAAGUGGAGAAGUGACCAUUGUAAACACCGCUCUCAUCCAAAUGACCUAUGUUAAGCUGAACUGAAGCAUGAUCCUUCGCAGUGAUCAAUCUGUUUGUAGCAGAACUGAAACAAAAUCCGAAGUUCAAAUUCCAUAAUUGAAACAACAAAUACAAACCCUAAUUUUUAAAUCAAUAACAAAAAGUGUGCAUACCACUUCCUAGGAAUGUAGAGCUCGGUGAUUUGUCCUUCUUCGUUCUGCAUCUUGAGGUUUGCUGAGAAAUUCCCUUGACAACAAAAAUC